GACGAACGCUGGCGGCGUGCUUAACACAUGCAAGUCGAACGGAAAGGCCCUGCUUUUGUGGGGUGCUCGAGUGGCGAACGGGUGAGUAACACGUGAGUAACCUGCCCUUCACUUUGGGAUAACUUCAGGACACUUGGGCUCAUCCCGGAUAGGAGCUCCUGCUGCAUGGUGGGGGUUGGAUAGUUUCGGCGGUUGGGGAUGGACUCGCGUCUUAUUAGCUUGUUGGUGGGGUAGUGGCUUACCAAGGCUUUGACGGGUAGCCGGCCUGGGAGGGGGACCGGCAAAAUUAGGACUGAGGUACGGCCCAGACUGGUACGGGAGGCAACGGGGGAGAAGAGUGUACAAUGGGAGGGAGCCUGAUGCGACAAAGCCACGUGCGGGAAGACAGCCUGCGGGUAGUGAACCGAUGUCGCCUGAGACGAAGCGUGAGUGACGGUAAUGGGUGAAGAAGCACCGGCUAACUACGUG
rnacentral:rRNA from 1 species